AGGGCAUGUGCAUCAAAGUAGGUGAUGGAUCCGCAGCGAAGCAAGAUUUACAACGUGCAGUGCAAACACGUGAAAUAUCCACAUUGUACAGAUUUAUUGCAAUACUGGCGAGAGUAAAACUUGUAAAAGAGGUUUUUUUUGUUUUACAAAGUCACAAGGCAAAGUAGCAAGUUUAGGAUCCGCUUAGUGACGACUGAAAACGGUUAGCGUCUCCAAAAGGAAGGGCAACGAAGAUUCCGCUCACUCCCCUCAUUUUAAACGGGGCGAAGGGCUGUUUUAUUUUGUUCCUGUUUCUUCGCACGUCUUUUUCACACGAUCCAACUUUCGGGCUGCCGUUUGCCUUCGGAUCCGUACCAAGCAAUAACUUUCAGGGAAUACCAAAGCGACUCUCGGUUUCUAGUGUGCUGCUGGAUCUACAGAACUUUUCCAGUAAUUUCUGAAGCUGCUCUUCAACCUAUUGGUGUGUUUGUCUGCCUGACAGAAGAGCCUCCAGAAUCCACUGCUCAAUGUUGAAGAAAUUUCCAAAGACUAAUGACUGCUUGAGAUGCUGCCAGACCUGCCGAAUUUCUCCAACAUACACUGUGUUUGAGAGAUAGUAGGAACUGCAGAUGCUGGAGAAUCCGAGAUAACAAAGUGUG